rnacentral:sRNA from 1 species
GCUGGACAUGGUGGUGCACACCUGUAAUCCCAGCAGCUCAGGAGGCUGAGGCAGGAGGAUCAUGGGUUCAAAGCCAGCCUCAGCAAAAGUGAGUUGCUAAUCAACUCAGUGAGACCCUGUCUCUA